UUUCCUGACCUUUAUGUAUAUCUCCCCUCCCCCUGCCUUCUAUUGAGGAUAGAAAAAGAGUGCAAUGGACCUCAUAAUUUCAGUGUUUGCAAUUACAGGAGUCAUGCUCAUUCUGCAUUUAAAACAAAGAGAUUCAGACCAACAUUUUGAGUUGGACACCCUGUGGUUAGAAGAUAUCACUAUGAUCCUGUGUGUGCUGAUAGUGUUCAACAUCAAACUCAUGUCACUGAUUUACUUCAGAAUGUAUGGAUAUUUACCUAGUGGUGAAGUAUGUAAAUGUAUAUUGAACAACAUAUUAAGAUUUUCACAAUCCCUAUUUUUCAUAGUCUCCUCUGCAAUAAUCCUACUUAAAUAUCUGCAAUUACAGAACAAAGUUUCUUUUUCAGAUCCCUUAUUUUCCUUGUACAGUAGCUGGAUGGUGAAUAUAUUUGUAAUUCUAGGAUUUCUCCUGGCAAUUUUCAAUGUUGAAACCUUUGCAACAUUAUGGCUAUACAGACAAUAUAUCUUAAGACACAAAAGAAGAAACAAUGACAGAUGGAGAUGAAAGAGCAGUUAUGCUCUUAUCCACUGAGCGAAUGUAAC
rnacentral:lncRNA from 1 species